rnacentral:rRNA from 1 species
UCUGGUGGCAAUACCAGGUCUUUCUUUUCUAAUGAUUAAUAGGGACCAGUUUGGGCAAUUGAUAUUUCUACACGAGCGGUGAAAUGCGUAGACUGUAGAAAGAUCGACUAAUGCGAAAGCAUUUUGCAGAGAUGUUUUCGUUAAUCAAGAACGAAAGUUAAGGGAUCGAAGAUGAUCAGAUACCGUCGUAGUCUUAACUAUAAACAAUGUCGACAAAAGAUGGGAUUGAAAGUAUGAAUAUACUUUCUUUUCAAAAAGGUACUAAAAUUUCCACAUUGUAGCAAUACAGUUUGGAUAAAUUUGUCUCUUCCCGAAUUUCGUAAGAAAUUAAGAGUGAUCGGACUUUGGGGGGAGUAUGGUCGCAAGGCUGAAACUUAAAGGAAUUGACGGAAGGGCACCACCAGGUGUGGAACUUGCGGUUUAAUUUGACUCAACACGGGGAAACUCACCAGGUCAGGACAUGAUAAGGAUUGACAGAUUAAAAGAUCUUUCAUGAUUUUAUGGGUGGUGGUGCAUGGCCGAUCUUAGUUCGUGGUAUGAAUUGUCGGCUUAAUUGCGUUAACGAACGAGACCUUUAGAGAUAAAUAGUGGUGAGUGGAGGGUGUAAAACCAUUUGGUGCGUCUUUGGAAGAAGGGCAUGUUCCCCUUUCAAAUGUCAUCGUGCUGGAUGGAUUCUCCACUUUAUCGAUGUAUUCUUAGCAAUAAGGGUGCAUCUUUAACUUCUUAUUUCGACUAUUGAUGUUCAAUCAAUGUAAGUUAAAGGCAAUAUCAGGUCUGUGAUGCCCUUAGAUGUUCUGGGCCACACGCGUGUUACAAUGGUAAAGAUCAAAGGGUUUCUUUGCAAAUCCCAGGGGGUAGAAAUAUUUCUUGGGAGAUGCAAAAAUGCUUGACAGAAAUGUCUGGCUAAUCCUUUUUCGAAUCUUUUUAACCAUAUCUGGGAUAGAUGCUUGUAAUUUUUCAUCUUCAACUUGGAAUACCUAGUAAGCGCAGUUCAACAAACUGCGUUGAUUACGUCCCUGCCCUUUGUACACACCGCCCGUCGCUCCUACCGAUUGAAUUAUCCGAUGAAUUGUAAGGAGAAUGGAGAUGGUUUACCAUAUUCGUUCAAAUUACAAUAAAUCUUAUAAUUUAGAGGAAGGAGAAGU